rnacentral:rRNA from 1 species
ACGAACGCUGGCGGCGUGCUUAACACAUGCAAGUCGAACGGAAAGGCCCUGCUUUUGUGGGGUGCUCGAGUGGCGAACGGGUGAGUAACACGUGAGUAACCUGCCCUUGACUUUGGGAUAACUUCAGGAAACUGGGGCUAAUACCGGAUAGGAGCUCCUGCUGCAUGGGGGGGUUGGAAAGUUUCGGCGGUUGGGGAUGGACUCGCGGCUUAUCAGCUUGGUGGUGGGGUAGUGGCUUACCAAGGCUUUGACGGGUAGCCGGCCUGAGAGGGUGACCGGCCACAUUGGGUCUGAGAUACGGCCCAGACUCCUACGGGAGGCAGCAGUGGGGAAUAUUGCACAAUGGGCGGAAGCCUGAUGCAGCAACGCCGCGUGCGGGAUGACGGCCUUCGGGUUGUAAACCGCUUUCGCCUGUGACGAAGCGUGAGUGACGGUAAUGGGUAAAGAAGCACCGGCUAACUACGUG